rnacentral:lncRNA from 1 species
AAAUUCCAUUCAAUGAAAGAAAAACCUACAACAGAUUCAUUCAGAUCAGAAUCUAAAAAGACUUUACAUAGGACAGAAACACUAAUUAAACACAACCCACAAAAAACCCAACAAACCCUAGCCGCUAAGAGCUUGUAAACUUGGUAACGGCCUUGGUCCCUUCAGAGACGGCAUGUUUCGCAAGCUCUCCAGGCAAAACCAGUCUGACAGCUGUCUGGAUCUCCCGGGAAGUAAUGGUAGGCUUCUUGUUGUACCUUGCAAGCCUCGAUGACUCUUGAGCGAGUUUCUCAAAGAUAUCGUUGAUAAAACUGUUCAUGAUACCCAUUGCCUUGCUGGAGAUCCCAAUGUCAGGAUGGACCUGUUUCAGGACCUUAAAGAUAUAGAUCUUGUAGGUCUCGACGUUCUUCUUUGUCCUCUUCUUCUUCUUGUCAACCGCUCCUUCUUUGGGUAUCUUCUUCUCUGCUCUUGGCUUCUUCUCCGCUGGGGCUUUCUCUGCUGCUGCCGCUGGCUUUUUCUCAGCCGGCUUCUUCUCUGCUUUAGGAGCCAUUUGGGAUUCUUGAGAAAGAAAUUGAGAGAGAACUUCUUUAAGAGAGGGGGGUUGAGGAGGUCUUUUCGAAAGAUUUGAUGAUUGAAUUAGGUAUUAUGAGGUUUGUUUAUAUAAGGAGAGGAAGUGAGUGGUGAUUGGUUGGUUUUGGCGAGACGCGGAUUGAUGACGUGGAUGGUUGGUUUUGCGGGGGUUUGAAUUGACGGUCAGAUGCGGUAACUUUUGAAGACCGAAUGUCAGGCACGAGGAGGAGUACAGGCCCAGCCCAUCUGUUUUCAUUAGUCAUUAGCACUGAAGGCCAUGAUUAGCAAAGUCGGCCCAACAGUCAAAUAAUAGGAGGGAAAUGGGAGAUAAGGAGAGGAUUGAUGAUUUGUGAACAACCAUGGCAAGACUCCGGCAAGGAAGAUUGCAUGAAUAUACAGCUUGAGUUGGAGUUGUGAUGCUCGGUUAGACAAUAAAAAUAGAUCAUCUGGGGAAAGGGAGCUCUCGAUGUUUUCUUUAUAGGGUUAUCGAUCAUUUACUCAAUCUUUGAUUAUUGUUGAUUUCAGAGAUAUGUUGCAAGGUUUGGGGGUGUAGAGACGUCUCAGGGAAGUGAAGGGACACCCCAUAAGGUUAACUGUCCAGUCGAUUCUCUAAAAUAUUUGCCAUUUUUGCAAGAUAUCAGUCUUCCCUUUUGGAGUUUGUCGAUCGCAUUAUGUGCUGUUUUUCUUUUAUCCACAAUUUUGCUCAAAUUGAGAGCUUUUUGCAGACGCGGGCACAUGUGCAACUUGUACCGGAUGUUCAGAUGAGUAGGUCCGUGGUGGAGGAGAGUGUUUAUGAGCGGAGGGCCGAUUGUUGAAGCGAUCGGAAUUCAGAGCAAACUCCACACAGUAAGGAAGUUGAAAUGAGAGCAAUUGAAAACAGAAUAAAUUGUGGCAAAGGUUGAAGAGGCCAAUGUCAGGUCUUUAAGUGAAUGAGUAGCCGCUGCUCGGGUUUUGUCCAUUCAUUGCUGCUGUUUUCUCUGAUAUUAUGUAAAAAUAUAUGAUUUCCAUAGAUCAAAGAGAGAGUUAGUAGAUAACCUACUACAAAGAUUGAACAGCUAAGUUGACAUGAAUCAUCAGCUGCAAUAAACAGCAGAAAACUUAUCAUUAGAGAUCGACAAGUUCAUGAUCCUGUAUUUAAAGACAGCAUGAGAUGGAGAGUCGAGACCCAAAGAGUUCAUGAACUCUCUUGUUUCUUUCUUCCACAGAGCAUGUAUGGCGGCAUUCUAAAGGAAAACAUUUCUUUCGCAAAUUACAAUUUGCCCUACUAAGCUCAGCAAUCGAAUUACCAAGACUGGUCUUAACACAAUACGCUUGCAGAAUGGAAAACCACGCCCCCUCCUUGCAAGAUCACAAUCAAAGAGCGCAAGAUCACGAUGCUCAUUUGCAUCACCUCAAGGGGCACCAAAGGAUAAACAAUUCUACCUCUUUUUUUACCAAUCCUUGAUUAUUGAGGACUGCCAAGUAUCGAGCAAGAGAAAACGCAGUGACCAGGAAUAUGAAAACUGCUCCAAAUCAGUUUGUCUUUCAACCUUCAGCCUUUCCCGCUCUGAUGAAACCCAAGCACUUAUUGCAGGAUACUCACCACUAAGAUUUGUUUUCCACCCAAUACUAUCUUGACUCAAGUUAUGUGGAAGGAUCACCCCAUAAACAGCUCCACAAGGCUAGAUCCAGUCCCAGCCUCUGAUGAUUAUCAGGCACCUUUACCAGUACUAAAUGAGGUUGCUAAAUUACUUCGAAGGUUUCUAAACCCCCACAAGGAAGCUCCAUUGAAAUUCUCAAUCCCGACCAGAUCAAGCCGAUUACCCAGCCUUCAGCAAUGUGUUAUUAGAAGGAAGCUCGCCGUUGUACAAAAACAGAAUCUAAAUCAAACAUUUCCGAUGGUUCUCCGUACAUCAUUGAUUACCAGGUAAUUCCACAAAAUUUAAACGAAAACCAGCAAAUACUCAAUCCAGUCAAACAACUACCUACAAAACAUCUCCUACAAAACGAUCUAAAACAAUUCUACAGAUACCAGAAAUGCACAAAACCACAAGGGAAAAAAUAAAACAGAAAUCGUCAAACCAGAACUAGCCCUAGUCAAUCAAAAGAAGAAUUGAAUAAAAAAUGAGACAGCACAAGCAGGAAUCAACAUCAUUCAAACCCAAUAAUCAAAGACAAAUUAUGCACAAGAUUCAUGUUUCAUAUAUCAUGUCACCCAAAAAAACCAAAAAUUUAGAACCCAACAAAGCCUAGCGCGGCCUAUGAGCUGGUAAAUUUGGUGACAGCCUUGGUCCCUUCGGACACAGCAUGUUUCGCAAGCUCUCAAGGCAAAACCAAUCUGACAGCAGUCUGGAUCUCCCGAGAGUAAUGGUGGGCUUCUUGUUAUACCUAGCGAGCCUUGAAUCCUCUUGAGCAAGCUUCUCAAAAAUAUCAUUGAUGAAACUGUUCAUGAUACCCAUAGCCUUGCUUGAAACCCCAAUAUCAGGGUUGACUUGUUUUAAAACCUUGAAGAUAUAGAUCUCGUAGGUCUCAACGCUCUUCUUUGCUUCUUCUUGUCAAUCGCUCCUCCUUCUUUAGGCAACUUCUUCUCGGCUCUUGGCUUCUUCUCCGCUGGGGCUUUCUCUGCUGCUGGCUUUUUCUCAGCUGGCUUCUUCUCUGCUGCCUUACGAGCCAUUUCGAGAUUCUAGAGAAGACGGGACUACCUUUGUUAAUUGGUAGAGAAAAAAUUGAUAAUUUUUCGGUCAGAGGGUUAGUUAACUGGUUUGGGCUACUUGUUUCGUUUAUAUAUAGAGUUGGGCAGAGCAUGAUUGGUUCGGUUUACGUCGCCGCGGAUAGAUGACGUGGGUGGUUGCUUUGGCAAAGGAACUUAAUGGACGUCGGAGAUGGUUUCGGACUUUUAGAACGAUCACAUCCUGGUGUAGACUGAUGAAUUCCAACUUUAAGAGGAGUCCAGCCCCAGCCAAGUUAUCGGCCGUAGCACUGGCAGUGGAAAGGCCUUGAUGACCCAAAACGGCAUGAGUUAUGAUCUAGUCUGUUUAUUAUUAAGAAAUUACUGUGUCCAGUUCAUUCAAAUCUUGGCCAUUCAGCUUGUUGUUUCAAGCUAAGGUUUUGAAUCGAUAAUAACAAGCCAAGUAGUCAAGAGAUUAAAAUAUUGUUUCCACUGAGAACAUUCUAAGCAGGCAAUUAAAGCUUCAUUGUUUCGACGGGGCUCCUUCUGAUUUCCACUAAGAUCAGAACCUAAACCUUUACAUGUAACAUGAAAGCCUAAACAGAAAAAACCCACAAAACAUUCCCAUAUACCCUAGACAUGGCCACCUACGAACUGGUAAACUUGGUAACAGCCUUGGUCCCUUCAGAGACAGCAUGUUUCGCAAGCUCUCCAGGCAAAACCAGUCUGACAGCUGUCUGGAUCUCCCGAGAAGUAAUCGUAGGCUUCUUGUUGUACCUUGCAAGCCUCGAUGACUCUUGAGCGAGUUUCUCAAAGAUAUCGUUGAUAAAACUGUUCAUGAUACCCAUUGCCUUGCUGGAGAUCCCAAUGUCAGGAUGGACCUGUUUCAGGACCU